rnacentral:rRNA from 1 species
AGCGAACGCUGGCGGCAGGCCUAACACAUGCAAGUCGAACGAACUCUUCGGAGUUAGUGGCGGUCGGGUGGGGAACACGGGGGAACGUGCCUUUAGGUUCGGUGUACCUCAGGGUAACUUGAGCUAAUACCGGUGGUGCCCUUCGGGGGUAGGAUUUAUGGCCUUUAGAGCGGCCCGCGUCUGAUUCGCUGGUUGGUGAGGUAAACGCACACCAAGGCGUCGUUCAGUAGCUGGUCUGUGAGGAGGACAAGCCACAAUUGGACUGCGACACGGCCCAAUCUGCGACGCGGGGGUGCAGUGGGGUAUCUUGCGCAAUGGGCGAAAGCCUGACGCAGCCACGCCGGGUGAAUGAUGAAGGUCUUAGGAUUGUACAAUCCUUUCUCAGGAGACGAUAAUGACGGUACUCGGAGAAGAAGCCCCGGCUAACUUCGUG